rnacentral:rRNA from 1 species
AACGUAGGAGACAAGCGUUAUCCGGAGUUACUGGGCGUAAAGGGCGUGUAGGCGGUCUGUUAAGUCUGGCGUGAAAGCUCUCGGCUAAACCGGGAGAGGUCGUUGGAUACUGGCAGACUAGAGGAUGGUAGAGGCGUGUGGAAUUCCGGGUGGAGUGGUGAAAUGCGUAGAGAUCCGGAGGAACACCAGUGGCGAAGGCGACACGCUGGGCCAUACCUGACGCUAAAGCGCGAAAGCAUGGGGAGCAAACGGG